rnacentral:rRNA from 1 species
UUAGAGUUUGAUCCUGGCUCAGGAUGAACGCUAGCGGCAGGCUUAACACAUGCAAGUCGAGGGGCAGCGAGAGUGAUAGCAAUAUUACUUGUCGGCGACCGGCGCACGGGUGCGUAACGCGUAUGCAACCUACCAUCAACAGGGGGAUAACACUGAGAAAUCGGUACUAAUACCCCAUAAUAUCUCAUGCGGCAUCGCAUGGGGUUGAAAACUCCGGUGGUUGAUGAUGGGCAUGCGUUGUAUUAGCUGGUUGGUGAGGUAACGGCUCACCAAGGCGACGAUACAUAGGGGGACUGAGAGGUUAACCCCCCACAUUGGUACUGAGACACGGACCAAACUCCUACGGGAGGCAGCAGUGAGGAAUAUUGGUCAAUGGACGCAAGUCUGAACCAGCCAUGCCGCGUGCAGGAUGACGGCUCUAUGAGUUGUAAACUGCUUUUGUACGAGGGUAAACCCCGAUACGUGUAUCGGGUUGAAAGUAUCGUACGAAUAAGGAUCGGCUAACUCCGUGCCAGCAGCCGCGGUAAUACGGAGGAUCCGAGCGUUAUCCGGAUUUAUUGGGUUUAAAGGGUGCGUAGGCGGUUUGAUAAGUUAGAGGUGAAAUGUCGGGGCUCAACCCCGAAACUGCCUCUAAUACUGUUGGACUAGAGAAUAGUUGCGGUAGGCGGAAUGUAUGGUGUAGCGGUGAAAUGCUUAGAGAUCAUACAGAACACCGAUUGCGAAGGCAGCUUACCAAACUAUAUCUGACGUUGAGGCACGAAAGCGUGGGUAGCAAACAGGAUUAGAUACCCUGGUAGUCCACGCAGUAAACGAUGAAUACUUCGUGUUGGGAGAACACCAGUCGGUGAUAAAGCGAAAAGCAAUAAGUUAUCCACCCUGGGGGAGUAGGUUUCGCAAGGAAUGAAACUCAAAGGGAAAUUGACGGGGGGCCCGCACAAGCGGAGGAACAUGUGGUUUUAAUUUGAUGAUACGCGAGGAACCUUACCCGGGCUUGAAAAGUUUAGCGACGACGCUUGAAAGAAGCGUUUCCCUUCGGGGCGCGAAACUAGGUGCUGCAUGGUUGUAGUCAGCUCGUGCCGUGAGGUGUCGGGUUAAGUCCCAUAACGAGCGCAACCCCUACUGUUAGUUGCCAUCAGGUGAUGCUGGGCACUCUAGCGGGACUGCCGGUGUAAGCCGAGAGGAAGGUGGGGAUGACGUCAAAUCAGCACGGCCCUUACGUCCGGGGCCACACACGUGUUACAAUGGUAGGUACAGAGGGCAGCUACCCUGCGAAGGGGUGCGAAUCUCGAAAGCCUAUCUCAGUUCGGAUUGGAGGCUGAAACCCGCCUCCAUGAAGUUGGAUUCGCUAGUAAUCGCGCAUCAGCCAUGGCGCGGUGAAUACGUUCCCGGGCCUUGCACUCACCGCCCGUCA